CAUGUUGAAACACCAGUUCCUGUAUGAUCAGUGAAGUUAAGCACUGUCGAGCCUGAUCAAUACCUUGAUGGGUGACUUCUUGGGAAUACCAGAUGUGGUAA